GGGGAAUUUUGGACAAUGGGCGCAAGCCUGAUCCAGCCAUUCCGCGUGAGUGAAGAAGGCCUUCGGGUUGUAAAGCUCUUUCGGCAGGGAAGAAACGGCCAUGGCUAAUAUCCGUGGCUAAUGACGGUACCUGAAGAAGAAGCACCGGCUAACUACGUGCCAGCAGCCGCGGUAAUACGUAGGGUGCGAGCGUUAAUCGGAAUUACUGGGCGUAAAGCGUGCGCAGGCGGUUUUGUAAGCCAGAUGUGAAAUCCCCGGGCUCAACCUGGGAACUGCGUUUGUGACUGCAAGACUCGAGUACGGCAGAGGGGGGUGGAAUUCCACGUGUAGCAGUGAAAUGCGUAGAGAUGUGGAGGAACACCGAUGGCGAAGGCAGCCCCCUGGGUCGAUACUGACGCUCAUGCACGAAAGCGUGGGGAGCAAAC
rnacentral:rRNA from 1 species